rnacentral:rRNA from 1 species
AGUAAAAGUCGUAACAAGGUUUCCGUAGGUGAACCUGCGGAAGGAUCAUUAUCGAGUUUAAACGCGUCUGAGCUGGCUUCGGCAAGUGCUCGGCGCCUCGUCCACUCAACCCCUGUGCACCUGAGAGGUGCGGCUGGGUCGAAAGACCCGCCGCCGCGCCUCGACCCUCUUUACACACCCGUCACAAGUUCAGUCGAAUGUAACGAUCGCUUCGGCGAUGAAACAAAAUAUAACUUUCAACAACGGAUCUCUUGGCUCUCGCAUCGAUGAAGAACGCAGCGAAAUGCGAUAAGUAAUGUGAAUUGCAGAAUUCAGUGAAUCAUCGAAUCUUUGAACGCACCUUGCGCUCCUUGGUAUUCCGAGGAGCAUGCCUGUUUGAGUGUCAUGAAUACCAUCACCCCUCCGGCGCUCUCGAGCGCUCGGUGGGCGUGGAUUUGGGGAUCUGCUGGCCCUUCGCGGGUCGGCUUCCCUCGAAUGCAUUAGCGGUCGCUUGGUUCUGACCACGGUGUGAUAACUAUUUCACCUUGGGAGGGCCGCUCGGGCGUCGCUCACAGCCGUCUUCGGACAACCCAUUUGUUAAUCUGGCCUCAAAUCAGGUAGGACUACCCGCUGAACUUAAGCAUAUCAAUAAGCGGAGGA